AUGCCUUCUCUCUAGGGAUUGGGUAAAUGCUAAUGCAAUUCCUUCUCGUCCAUGUUGAAUCCCACAGAAAUUUGCUUCCUUGCACCUUGACUGACUCAUACACAUGGAUUUCUGGUGAACCCGAGAGGAGCAGUCUUAUAUAGAACUAUAAACUUCAAGAUUCUUAGAUUAAAUGAACUCAUCAUCGGAAGGUGAUCCUCAGAGAGAACCCCCCCGCCCCCGAUUGAACUGUGAAAACUCCAUCCCCGGAAAGAAAUAAGGAGAACUUGUAAUGAGGGGACACUCUACCUUGCUUGCCUGCCUUCCCCUAACUGAGAGACUUACUAAGAAGCACAUAAACUUUACUGAAUCCCGUCUGAGACAACUCUCUACCAAGUUCAGUGUCCUCUGGUCAAGGAGUCCUUUAGACCUUAAAUUGAAUUCUAAGAACUUUGCUGACUUAUGUUUGACCUCCUGCUAUACCACAAGGCUUCACCUAGAUUUUGGAGAUAAAAAGCACUGCCAGAAGCAAGUACUAGAGUCUUUGAAAACUUAAAAAACCCCCACCCAAAUCCUUAAUUAUCGACUAUUUUAUGAUCCCAGGUGUUGCUUUUCUUUUUUUAAUAAAAUUUAAAACAAAAUUCAAAA